CAUCACUUCAGAUGCAGCUGCCACCUCUCUGAAGAAAUGGCCAGGGAACUACCCCCUAAUAGGGCACAGAUCAGGAAGGACUUGUAUCUAAGUCAAGGAAAAGAAUCCACUAUUGAUUGACAACAAAGAGUUCUAACUGCUGUUUUUAUCAGGAGGCAAUUCCUGGAAUGUUGUUCUCCACCACUUUGCUCUGAUCCUCCCUCCAAUAAAACUGGGUCUCCGUUGACUUACCCGCGGGACAGGACAAGUGGCGCCCAACGUGGGGCCCGAGAACGGGGGAUCCAGUGAAGAACGCUGCUCGGGGGCCCAAUAAAAUAGAAGAGACAAAUAAAAUAGAAAAAAGAGGAUUGCAUCUGACGUGAACCUGCCGUCUUUCCUGCACCUCGGUGAGUUGAGCAGCGAUUAUGGGACAGGAGAUUAGCCAACAUGAGUUGUUUGUAGAAGGUCUUAAAAAAAAACUUUACAGGCACGAGGGGUAAAGGUUACAGUCAAACAGUUGUUAAAAUUUUUUGAUUAUAUUAGAGA